UACAGAGGUCCCAAGCGUUGUUCGGAUUCACUGGGCGUAAAGGGUGCGUAGGCGGUGAGGUAAGUCGGAUGUGAAAGCUCGGAGCUCAACUCCGAAAUGGCAUUGGAAACUACCUUGCUCGAGGAAUGGAGGGGGGACUGGAAUUCUCGGUGUAGCAGUGAAAUGCGUAGAUAUGUGGAGGAACACCAGUGGCGAAGGCGGCUUUCUGGUCUGUAACUGACGCUGAGGCGCGAAAGCGUGGGGAGCAAACAGG
rnacentral:rRNA from 1 species